AACGAACGCUGGCGGCAGGCUUAACACAUGCAAGUCGAACGAACGUAGCAAUACGUUAGUGGCAGACGGGUGAGUAACGCGUGGGAAUAUGCCCUAUGGUUUGGAAUAACUCAGGGAAACUUGAGCUAAUACCGGAUAAGCCCGAGAGGGGAAAGAUUUAUCGCCAUUGGAGUAGCCCGCGUCUGAUUAGCUAGUUGGUGAGGUAAUGGCUCACCAAGGCGACGAUCAGUAGCUGGUCUGAGAGGAUGAUCAGCCACACUGGGACUGAGACACGGCCCAGACUCCUACGGGAGGCAGCAGUGGGGAAUAUUGGACAAUGGGGGCAACCCUGAUCCAGCCAUGCCGCGUGAGUGAUGAAGGCCUUAGGGUUGUAAAACUCUUUUAUCCGGGAAGAUAAUGACUGUACCGGAAGAAUAAGCCCCGGCUAACUUCGUGCCAGCAGCCGCGGUAAGAC
rnacentral:rRNA from 1 species